AUCUAAUUGAAUUUUUACAUAAUCCGUAGUUAAAUUGGAUUAGGAUGGGAUUUUUUUAUCUUUUGCUACAGAAUUUUGUCCGUCACUAAUUCUUUGCGGUUUCUUGUAGUAAUUGCGUAUUCUUAUUGAAUUCGAAUCAAAUUCACAUAUUCUAUUGUUUGUUCUGCUAAGAACUACUUAAUAAAGAUCAAACCUGUUCUCUUGAUCUUGCUUUGAAUUUGAUUUGAAUUUCUUAUUAGAGUGGUGUUGUAGUAAUUGCUUAUUCUUUUUGGGUUGAAAUGAGUUUGUGUUUUGCCAUAUUCUAUUGUUUGUUCUGUUAAGAACAACCUGAUAAAGAUCAAACCUUUUUCUCGAUUAUUUUCUGAUUUUCGGUUCGGGUUCUAACAUUGAAUAUAGUAGUAGUAAUUGAGUGUUCUCAUUUUUCCAGGGUAUAUCUGAAGUUUUUUUUCUUUUUCCUGAUUUGAAAUGAGCUUGCACAGGACUAAUUAACUGUCCUGUCCACUAUUAUUUAUUUGCUCCUGGAUAUUUUUGACAUAUUCUUUUGUCUGAUACUGCUAAGAACAAACAUAAUAAAGAUCAAGCCUUUUCACUCACGAAAAAAUAAAAAUAAAGAUCAAACCUUUUGCAUAUCAUGUUUUGGUUUUGAUUUGUUUUUGAAAUUAGAAUAUUGUGUUAGUAAUUAGUAUUCUUAUUUCAAGUUAUUGAAUCUUUCUUUUCGGAUUAAAGAUAAGCUUGCAGAAAAAUAAUAAAUCGAGAUUCUUUGUUUUGAUAAAACAUAUGCUGUUUGUCUUCGUUGUGGAGUUUAUUUCACUUACAGCUGACACUGGUUGAAUGAGUUUGAGAUUGAAGUUGAUUCUUAAAUCAACCUUUGGUCUUGAAGUUUAGGGUGUUAGACAGGACAUGACACAGCUUUAACUGACCGAGGACAUGACUUUAGAUAGGAAGAUUUGGAGGUCGAGGAUCAGUAUAGAAGGUUAAUAGGUAGUUGAGUUUUGUUGCACUGUGUGUGAGAGAGGUGUGGGGCUAGCCUCUUCAUCUCCUCUUCUCCUUUUCUUAGUAGUAUUAUUUAGGUAUCGCGUAGCCUUAUGUGUGUAUUACUAUGUGUUGCUUCAUUUGUUUUGUAUUCUUGAUUUUUUGCUCUCUUAUUUUUCUUGCAAUCCUACAUUGACUAUGUUUCUUUUGAGCCGAGGGUCUAUCGGAAACAACAUCUCUACCUUACAAAGGUAGAGGUAAGGUCUACGUACAUCCUAUUCUCCCCGUACCCCACUUGUGGGAUUACACUGGUAAUGUUGUUGUUGUUGUUGAUCUUGAAGUUUAGGGUGCUGUUAAAAUUUGGUCCGCACUCAUUUGAAGAGUGCCCUGAAAUUUCAAUCUCCCCUGAGAGUUCUUGUACAAUGGGAUCUUACUUGAACUUCAAGAACUUUACUGACACGCCACAUACAGAAAGCAAUGGUAGGAAGUCAAUGGGAAGUGGUAAUUUUCCUUUAGCUAGACAAUCUUCCAUAUACUCCUUGACAUUUGAUGAGCUCCAGACUACCUGCGGUCUCGGAAAAGAUCUUGGAUCAAUGAAUUUGGAGGACCUCUUGAAGAAUAUUUGGACAGCUGAAGAGUCGUCUCAAGGCUUAGCAUCUUCCACUGGUGUUGGAGAUGUGAGUAUGGCUGCGGGAAAUUUGCAGAGACAAGGUUCAUUAACACUGCCUCGGACACUUAGUCAGAAAACGGUCGAUGAAGUAUGGAAAGAUUUCCAUAAAGAGACAACAGUUAAUUCAAAUAUUGGGCAGAAACGAUCUAACUUGGGUGAAAUGACAUUGGAGGAGUUUUUGGUAAAAGCAGGAGUGGUGAGAGAAGAUACUCAACCAAGUGGAGCCUCAAACGAUGUUGGAUUCACGGGUGUUUUUGGUCAACUGAGUACUGACAACAAUGCUCUAAACAUCGGGUUUCAGGAACCAACUCAAAGCCCUGGACUUUUGAGUAAUGAAUUUGCUGAGAAUAACGUGUUGAAUGUGGUUAGUGGAAAAUCUUCCCAACAACAGCCUAAGCAGCGGCCACCUCUUAUUCCAAAACAAACGAAUGUUGCCUUUGCAUCUCCUAUGCAAUUGGAGAACAAUCACCAGCUGGCUAGCCCAGGGGCAAGGGCUCCGGUUGUUCAAGGCGGUGUUAUGCAGGGUGGAGUUACACUUACACCAGUAAAAAGAGGAUCUGCUGGAAAUCAACUGUCACUCGACAUGAUUGCUAAGAACAAUCUGGAUAGUUCAUCUAUUUCACCUUCACCUUAUGCAUUUAGUGAAGGUGGAAGAGGGAGGAGAUCGUGCAGCUCAUUGGAAAAAGUUGUGGAAAGAAGGCAUAAGAGGAUGAUUAAGAACAGAGAGUCCGCAGCAAGAUCAAGGGCUCGGAAGCAGGCCUAUACUUUACAGUUGGAAGCUGAAGUGGAGAAGCUUAAAGAAAUUAAUGAAGAGUUGCAGAAAAAACAGGCUGAAUUUAUCGACAUGCAGAAAAAUCAGGUAGUAACCUCUUUUACAACUGACAAGUACCUCUUGUUGUGAGUCAAUAACUAUCUAUCUUUCCUGCUUCAUUAUGGACUGGAUACAAUGAUGUUAUUGGAAAAAACUAAUAUGUCAUGGGGAAAUAAGUUAAGAUGCUUGAAAAGGACACUGACAGGACCUUGGUAGACCUCCACCGGCGCCACAUCCAGCAUACAAUUUUAGAGAAUAGUUAAGAGUUGUCGAAAGAGUUGUAAUAUGUGAGUUAUGAUCUGAUUUGGAUCUUUUUUCACCAUAUUGUUGGUAGCUAUACGUAUAUAAGUGAGAGUGGCAUGUCCUACUGUAUGUAUGUAUUAUUAUUAUCAUGUAAAUGGCAAAAGAGUUGUAAUAUGUGAGUUAUGAUCUGAUUUGGAUCUUUUUUCACCAUAUUGUUGGUAGCUAUAUGUAUAUAAGUGAGAGUGGCAUGUACUAUAUAUAUGUAUUAUUAUUAUCAUGUAAAUGAGCUUCUUGCAUAAA